rnacentral:rRNA from 1 species
AAUAGAUACCCGGGUAGUCCACGCCAUAAACGAUGAGUGCUAAGUGUUAGAGGGUUUCCGCCCUUUAGUGCUGCAGCUAACGCAUUAAGCACUCCGCCUGGGGAGUACGGCCGCAAGGCUGAAACUCAAAGGAAUUGACGGGGGCCCGCACAAGCGGUGGAGCAUGUGGUUUAAUUCGAAGCAACGCGAAGAACCUUACCAGGUCUUGACAUCCUCUGCCAACCCUAGAGAUAGGGUGUUCCCCUUCGGGGGACAGAGUGACAGGUGGUGCAUGGUUGUCGUCAGCUCGUGUCGUGAGAUGUUGGGUUAAGUCCCGCAACGAGCGCAACCCUUGAUCUUAGUUGCCAGCAUUUAGUUGGGCACUCUAAGGUGACUGCCGGUGACAAACCGGAGGAAGGUGGGGAUGACGUCAAAUCAUCAUGCCCCUUAUGACCUGGGCUACACACGUGCUACAAUGGAUGGUACAAAGAGCUGCGAACCCGCGAGGGUAAGCCAAUCUCAUAAAGCCAUUCUCAGUUCGGA